CCCAGACAGCCAGGAUGUUGGCUUAGAAGCAGCCAUCAUUUAAAGAAAGCGUAAUAGCUCACUGGUCGAGUCGGCCUGCGCGGAAGAUGUAACGGGGCUAAACCAUGCACCGAAGCUGCGGCAGCGAACGUAUCACUUAAAGCGAUUCAGCGGAUUACGAUUGACGGAGCGAAGCGACGUCAAAGCGUAUACAAAGUCGAGUCGGUUUAAGGAUACGUUCGUUGGGUAGGGGAGCGUUCUGUAAGCCUGUGAAGGUGGCCUGUGAGGGUUGCUGGAGGUAUCAGAAGUGCGAAUGCUGACAUAAGUAACGAUAAAGCGGGUGAAAAGCCCGCUCGCCGGAAGACCAAGGGUUCCUGUCCAACGUUAAUCGGGGCAGGGUGAGUCGACCCCUAAGGCGAGGCCGAAAGGCGUAGUCGAUGGGAAACAGGUUAAUAUUCCUGUACUUGGUGUUACUGCGAAGGGGGGACGGAGAAGGCUAUGUUGGCCGGGCGACGGUUGUCCCGGUUUAAGCGUGUAGGCUGGUUUUCCAGGCAAAUCCGGAAAAUCAAGGCUGAGGCGUGAUGACGAGGCACUACGGUGCUGAAGCAACAAAUGCCCUGCUUCCAGGAAAAGCCUCUAAGCAUCAGGUAACAUCAAAUCGUACCCCAAACCGACACAGGUGGUCAGGUAGAGAAUACCAAGGCGCUUGA
rnacentral:rRNA from 1 species